rnacentral:tRNA from 1 species
GGGGUUGUGGCUCAGUUGUAGAGUGCUUGCCUUACAUGUGUGAGGCACUGAGUUCAAUUCUCAGCACCACA